UAAUGCAUUUGGUGAUUUAAUGACUUUUCCUUUGGCACGACCAGCAGACCACAUUUUUUCACACGUCCACAAAAAUAUAUCAAAAUAUCAUUGUUUCUAUGAAACUGUCACUAUUCUAUUCAAUAAUGAGAUGAAAGAAAUGAGAAGUUACCUGGAUUUAACUCCAGUUAUAGUGUGUAGGUAAGUGUAAGUGUGUGUAGCUAUGUGUCAGUAAAACUGUACAACAGUAACUGUGGGCAAUCUGAAUAAAGCAGAUCAUUGCCCGAAAACAUACAAUAUGUUGGUCCAGUGUGAAGGUGUAAUCAACGGGUACGAUCCAGUCUAAAGAUCAAAAUGUACACCGUAGGUAUCUAUGACUCCCGUUGACUCUCCUUGUGUCAAGCGUGAAUCUGGAUUAACACAUCAGUGUGACUUCUGCAGCUUCUUCACUAUUAGAUAUAUCCUCUAGUAAUAGUGUUCUUCUGGCCCCAUGUGUUGUAACAACAUGUUGAAGCUCAAGUUGUGUUUCUCUUUGUCUUAACUCGCUCUCCUUUUUCUUUGUCUCCUCUUCAAUCUUUGGAAUGUAACGUGAGGAAGGAUCAGGAUGGAGAGGAAGUUCUCUUUACAGCUAACAUGGUUUUAACAUUCGACUGUUAGUAGGGCAGAGGAGAAUAUUCACUCAGCAACUGAAGAGGCAAGAGAGCAAGGAGGAGACACAAGGGAAAGUCCACUAAAUGAUGAUUUGGAGGAACAGACUAUGUUGCCACUCAGAGAGAUGUAUGUGACAGUGUUGAUCCUCCGGGUUCCCAUGACGAUAGCUGUCACGUCCUCAUCCUUCACGACAAGGUGUCAGAGACCCCGGGCAACACUGCCAAUCUGUCUCAGAGCGAUGCAGCUACACAUCAGGUCUGCCUGAAUUAUAAAACAGCCACUGGGAUUUGUCCGCUCUGUGCCGCAGGAGUCGCUAUCGAUCUGAGACAACAGACAUGAAAGACAUGGGGAGUGAGGGAGUAGGGGAGACAGGUGGAAGGAGCACCAUGGCCAUCCCAAAGAAAGCGCACGCUGUGAUACUUCAUCUUAGGUUGUAUUUACCAAACCUGCAGUUCAUUGGGUAAUCAGCGCCUUUUUCCGCCCACUACAGUAUACCGUAAAUUGCGCGUAUUUAAACGCGCAAUUGAAAGAUUUAGCGAUAACGAAGUUGAUCUGCCUGUUUAUGAGGUAACAGCUUGAUGCGUGUAAUUUCGGCAUUAGUGGUGGGGAAAUGUAUGUACCGACUAGUGCGCUGUAGCAAAGCGUUAAGUACUUGUGCUAUGAUACGGCUGAGUGCAAACUGCGAUAUUCC